CAAGGUGGACGAGGAGGACGAGGAUUUGUGCUCGGUAUAUCCUGAGGUGGUUGGCGGUCGUUGGAGAUGGCCGGAGGUGGACAAGGAGGACGAGGAUUUUUGCUCGUUCUGUGCCCCACCUAGUGAUCCACUAGUACA